rnacentral:misc_RNA from 1 species
AAGUCGUAACAAGGUCUCCGUUGGUGAACCAGCGGAGGGAUCAUUAAAGAGUUUCUAAGCUCUAAACCCAAUCGUGGACCGCGAAAACGUUGCCUCGGCGGAUCAGCCCGCUCCCGGUAAAACGGGACGGCCCGCCAGAGGACCCCUAAACUCUGUUUCUAUAUGUAACUUCUGAGUAAAACCAUAAAUAAAUCAAAACUUUCAACAACGGAUCUCUUGGUUCUG